AAUCUUGCGCAAUGGGCGAAAGCCUGACGCAGCCAUGCCGCGUGAAUGAUGAAGGUCUUAGGAUUGUAAAUUCUUUCACCGGGGACGAUAAUGACGGUACCCGGAGAAGAAGCCCCCGGCUAACUUCGUGCCAGCAGCCGCGGUAAUACGAAGGGGGGCUAGCGUUGCUCGGAAUUACUGGGCGUAAAGGGCGCGUAGGCGGAUCGUUAAGUCAGAGGUGAAAUCCCAGGGCUCAACCCUGGAACUGCCUUUGAUACUGGCGAUCUUGAGUAUGAGAGAGGUAUGUGGAACUCCGAGUGUAGAGGUGAAAUUCGUAGAUAUUCGGAAGAACACCAGUGGCGAAGGCGACAUACUGGCUCAUUACUGACGCUGAGGCGCGAAAGCGUGGGGAGCAAACAGGAUUAGAUACCCUGGUAG
rnacentral:rRNA from 1 species